AGAGUUUGAUUAUGGCUCAGGAUGAACGCUAGCUACAGGCUUAACACAUGCAAGUCGAGGGGCAGCAUGGAACUUAGCUUGCUAAGUUCUGAUGGCGACCGGCGCACGGGUGAGUAACACGUAUCCAACCUACCGUUUACUACGGGAUAGCCUUCUGAAAAGGAGAUUAAUACCGUAUGGCAUUCUAAAGUUUCAUGACAUUAGAAUUAAAGGUUUACCGGUAUCGAUGGGAUGCGUUCCAUUAGAUAGUAGCGGGGUAAGGCCCACCUAGUCAACGAUGGAUAGGGGUUCUGAGAGGAAGGUCCCCCACAUUGGAACUGAGACACGGUCCAAACUCCUACGGGAGGCAGCAGUGAGGAAUAUUGGUCAAUGGGCGCGAGCCUGAACCAGCCAAGUAAGCGUGAAGGAUGACUGCCCUAUGGGUUGUAAACUUCUUUUAUAAAGGAAUAAAGUAGUCCACGUGUGGAUUUUGUAUGUACUUUAUGAAUAAGGAUCGGCUAACUCCGUGCCAGCCGCUGC
rnacentral:rRNA from 1 species